GCGGCGGCGCACGUAGCUCUCCCAAGAUGGCGGCCUCUCCGGACCGAGCUGCCAGGGCGGCUGCGGGGCUGGGGGCGGCGGGCGGCCGCUAAAGGAGGCGGCCGGGGGCCGGCGGAGCUCGCUUCGCCUCCCCUCCCCUCUCUGCCGAGUAGGGGGAGGUUUCCGCGCGGCCGCCGGGCUUCACCAUGCUGCGGGGCUAGAGCCGCGGAGACGCCGCAGCGGGGUAAUAAUGUUAGCAGAGACCAGUCUUUCCAUAUGGGGAUGGGGAAGUCUUGGUGUUGUGCUUUUUCUAAUAACUUUUGGACCCUUCGCUAUAUUUUACUUUGCGUUUUAUAUCCUCUGCUUUGUGGGUGGGGGUUUUGUGGUUACGCUUUUAUUUGGGAAAAACAGCUCAGAAAAGUAUCUUGAGCAGUGUGAACAUUCAUUUCUUCCUUGUACAUCAGUUGGUAUCCCUAAGUGCAUAGAAGAAAUGAAACGUGAAGCCAGACCUAUUAAGAUUGACAGAAGGCUGACAGGUGCAAAUAUAAUUGAUGAGCCUUUGCAACAGGUGAUCCAGUUUUCCCUGAGAGACUAUGUGCAGUACUGGUAUUAUACACUAAGUGAUGAUGAGUCGUUUCUCCUGGAAAUCAGACAAGCUCUUCAGUAUGCACUUGUUCAGUUUUCUACCAGGUCAAAGGAAACAGACUGGCAGCCUUACUUCACUACACGACUUGUUGAUGACUUUGGCACUCAUCUUCGAGUUUUCAGAAAAGCUCAGCAAAGAAUAGCAGAGAAAGGUGAUCAGAUGAAAGACCAAGCUGAGGAACUUGUAGAUACAUUCUUUGAGGUUGAAGUUGAAAUGGAAAAAGAAGUCUGUCGUGACCUAGUCUGCACUUCUCCCAAAGAUGAAGAAGGAUUCCUAAGGGAUCUGUGUGAGGUCUUACUGUAUAUAUUGCUACCUCCUGGAGACUUCCAGAACAAGAUCAUGCGAUACUUUGUCAGGGAAAUCCUCUCCCGAGGAAUUCUUCUUCCAUUAAUAAACCAGCUCAGUGAUCCUGAUUAUAUUAAUCAGUAUGUCAUAUGGAUGAUUCGUGAUUCCAACUGUAACUAUGAGGCCUUUAUGAAUAUUAUUAAAUUAAGUGAUAAUAUAGGAGAGUUGGAAGCAGUCAAAGAUAAAGCAAGUGAAGAACUGCAAUAUCUUCGAUCUCUAGAUACAGCAGGAGAUGAUAUCAACACUAUAAAAAAUCAAAUAAACAGUUUAUUAUAUGUUAUUAAAGUAUGUGAUUCAAGAAUUCAGAGGUUGCAGUCAGGAAAAGAAAUAGAUACUGUGAAACUGGCAGCAAACUUUGGAAAACUUUGCACAGUCCCUCUGGACCAUAUCCUGGUAGACAAUGUUGCACUACAGUUUUUCAUGGAUUACAUGCAGCAGACUGGUGGCCAAGCACAUCUGUUUUUCUGGAUGACAGUGGAAGGAUACAGGGUUACGGCACAGCAACAGCUGGAGGUACUUCAAAGCCGGCAAAGAGAUGGAAAACAUCAGACUAAUCAGACCAAGGGUCUAUUAAGAGCAGCUGCAGUUGGAGUUUAUGAGCAAUAUUUAUCAGAAAAGGCAUCUCCAAGAGUUAAUAUUGAUGACAACUUGGUAGCAAAACUGGCAGAAACACUGAACCAUGAGGAUCCAACGCCUGAAAUCUUUGAUGACAUUCAAAGAAAGGUGUAUGAAUUGAUGCUGCGAGAUGAGAGAUUCUACCCUUCCUUCAAACAGAACGUUUUGUAUGUCCGCAUGUUAGCUGAGCUAGAUAUGCUGAAGGAUCCCAGUUUCCGAGGAUCAGAUGACGGUGAAGGGGAAUCUUUUAACGGAUCUCCAACUAGUAGCAUAAAUCUGUCCUUAGAUGACCUUUCAAAUGUCCCUUCUGAUGAGACAGUUCAACUCCAUGCAUAUAUCUCAGAUACUGUAUAUGCUGACUAUGACCCAUAUGCUGUGGCAGGAGUGUGUAAUGACCAUGGCAAGACGUAUGCGUUGUAUGCUAUCACGGUCCAUCGGAGAAAUGCAAACAGUGAGGAAACAUGGAAGACAUAUCGGCGCUACAGUGACUUCCAUGACUUUCACAUGAGGAUCACCGAGCAGUUUGAAAAUCUGGCAAAUAUACUGAAACUUCCAGGCAAAAAGACAUUUAACAAUAUGGACAGAGAAUUCUUGGAGAAGAGGAAAAAAGAUUUAAAUGCAUAUUUGCAGCUCCUGUUAAAUCCUGAAAUGAUGAAAGCUUCUCCAGCUCUAGCCCACUAUGUGUACGACUUCCUGGAGAACAAGGCCUACAGCAAAGGGAAGGGGGAUUUUGCACGGAAGAUGGACACAUUUGUAAACCCACUGCGUAACUCUAUGAGAAAUGUGUCAAAUGCAGUCAAGUCUCUCCCUGACAGCCUGGCAGAGGGAAUGACUAAAAUGUCAGACAACAUGGGUAAAAUGUCAGAGAGACUGGGACAAGACAUAAAGCAAUCAUUUUUCAAGGUGCCUCCUUUGAUCCAGAAAACCUAUUCAGAUCCUGACCAUUGCCGUGUUGCAGCAACAAUUGAUGACAGUGUGGAUGACAAUAUUCCACUUCGAGUAAUGCUCCUCCUUAUGGAUGAAGUCUUUGAUUUAAAGGAAAGAAAUCAGUGGUUAAGAAGAAACAUAAAGAAUCUGCUUCAACAGCUUAUUAGAGCAACUUAUGGCGACACAAUUAAUAGGAAAAUAGUUGAUCAUGUUGACUGGAUGACAUCUCCUGAACAAGUAGCAGAUGCUGUGAAACGCUUCAGAUUUGCUUUUGUUACAGAGAUGCUUUUUGGCCCAAUGGCAUUUUAGCAGAGACUGUUCCACGGAGAGACAAAGCUAUUAGAAUGAGAACAAGAGUAGCAGGGAAGACCAAAUUACUGGAGAUAAUGCCGGAUGAAUUGAAGCACAUCAUAGGCGCUGAGACAACACGUAAAGGUAUUCUUCGAGUCUUUGAGAUGUUCCAGCAUACUCAACUGAAUAAGAGAAUGGUGUAUGUCUUUCUGGAGAGAUUUCUAGAAACCUUAUUUCCACAAAAUAAGUUCCAUGAGCUCUUCAACAAACUGCACUCACGGUCAAAGCAGAUGCAGAGGUAUAAACAGAGACUACAUUCUACUCAAGCGCCUUCCUUGCAGAAAAGGUGACACUGUAAACCUGUUAAGCUGGUGUACAUUUGUCCAGGACUAAUUACUUGGGCAGAUUCUCUGGGGCUUCAAACUCACAUGCUGUUAUUUCUGCACCAGUCUUUUAGUGUCACAUAGUAGAUUAUUAAUGCAUCUGUAAGACCUGUGGAUCUUCUCAUCGUCACUUGUAAUUCAACCACUACCAGAAGGGUUCGUGUGUCUUAAAUGAUUUGGUGCGUCUUCAUGCAACAUUGAGAAGAAAACUGGCCCACUGUAUAAGAAUGCUGAUUCCUUCCGUUCCUGAGGCGAUGUUUGCCAGCAAUGAAAAGUGCCAGACUGAGUGAAACAUAACAACUAUGGUGAUGCGGUAGAAGAAAAGAAAGUUUUGGCACUGGGAGAUGGUGCAAUGUGUGAGAAUCAGGUGGAUUUUUUCUAUAUUAUGUCUGUUGAGGCUCUGUAGGGCUUAUUUAACAUUCCUGUAAAGGCUGAGCUAACAUGAAAAGCAAUCUCUGGAGCAGCAGAUUUAUAGAGGAGGGGAGAAAUAGUUAUACCCCCAUCAUAAAAAUAUAUUUAUUAAAGUAAAUUUGAGAAAAUGUGAAUUUUACGCCACACAAACUUCACCUUUUAUGUUUUGAAAAAUAAACUAACAUUAGAUCUGUUGGGGGUUUUAGUAAAGAUGCGGUAGUUAUAAAACCUUUAUUCUGAUUAUUCUGUAGCUCUAAGGGCCAUCUUCUGCUCUUAUAGCACCUGGCAUAUAUUUUGCAUGUAACUUCAGUGAAGAAAGGGUGUUGUACUUAUGUUCAACUGGUGCAUUUGAACAUACAACAAGAUCAUAGUUGCAGAAGGAAGGGGGGAGUCCAUGUUUCAAAGAGCACAGACAUCAUACUGGGCGAUGAGGAAAUUGCACUAAGAAACAAUUCUCACACAAUUCCCCACUAAAAUCUGAAACAUUUUGGGGUGCAAAGGACUGUCCUACCUAAUUGAAAGAUUCCUUUACCUUUGAGCGUGAAAGGUUCAUGGGAAAAAAAUGUUAGAAUUAGUUGGUUCCUUACAGAUAAAAGAUUUCAUUAGUCAUAUGCAAACAUUUGGGAAUUCCUGAACGCAUCUUAGUGUAUAUAUGAAAAUAAAAAGGAGAUAAAAUUACAAUAUUUUUUUAAAUAAUUUUUUUAUUUUUUGCAUAGUGUAAAAUUUUAAUAGAAAUUUGACAUCAAGGCCCCACAUCCAUCUGUUUAGUUCCAUCAAAUAAUUUAUGUCCAAUUAAGAAUAAAAUAACAAAUAAUUCAUUUAGGCCACAGCAUUCCUCAGUUUGUCUUUUCUUUUUCAUAGUCCCCUACUGUUAUGAGCAUUACUAUCUGAGUGAAUAGAAGGUAAUUUUGUGGAGUCCAUAUUUCUUCAGAACGCUUAACGGGAUGUGAUACAACUGUUGAUCAAGGAUCCUUAUAGCAAUUUGUGUUCAAAUGGGAACAAAUCCUAUGUGAGAGAGGAACACAGACCUUUUAUUAAAGCGUUCUAAGAGAAGAUAGAAGGCUCUCAAAGGACCUAGUUAAUUUGACUGAAGCAUCUAUAUAUGUCAUUUUUUCUUAUGGACUCUAUUCACGCAAUGUAGCCUUUUAUCAUAUUACUUAAUGAUACUUAAUGAUCAUAUUGUACUGUUAAUGUUUUCAUACAGUAUGCAUGGGCUCAAGUGCACUUGGUUUUUUUUUUCCUUUAUUGCAGAAUUAAAUACUGUAAGUUAAAUCCCUUUCUUUUAUAAUUACUAGGAAGACAAGUUGGAAAAUAUGUAACAACCCUUCCCUCUUCUUCUCUGCUGAUUUUGUAGAAGUGUGAUUAAGUGCUGUUGAAUUUAACAAAAUUCUUGAGUUCCUGUGUGGAGUAGUCAGCAUAGCCAGCUGCUGUUGUUUACAUGCCUGUAUCUUCCUCUGAUGUCAGUGUACACUCUAGCAUACCUGACAUCUAGCUGAUGAAAUAUCGUUCAGCAAUUGUUCUUGGUGACAUAGUAGUUACAUCAUUAUUACUACCAAACCUAAUUUAUGUAUUUUUAAAUCAUUGAAUUCGUUAUGCAGUAUGAAAAUGGGAAGUUUAAAUGCUGUUUUUGUCAGAUCUGUGGAACCUCUUGUCUAUCUGCAGGUACCAUGAAAAAUUCAAGAGAAUGGUGAUUGUGUGCAAAUUGGGAUUUUCUUAAUUCUCUGGUACAUUUCUGUAAAAAAUGAAAUAAUAAUAUCUCUAGGAAUGUGAACUGAACAUAAUACAACAUGUUUGUUAGUCAUUUUACUUAAUGAAAUUUAUUACAUAUACAUAUAUACUUAUACACACACUUAUAUGCAGGUGUGCAUAUAUAUAUAUGUACUAAGUUUUGUCUUCUGUAUUUAGUUACAGAAUGUGGCUUCCUAAUUCAGUUGUGCCUGUUGGCUGGCGAGAUUGAUCGGAAAUUAAUACUUUUGGUUUAAAAGUUUGUACUUAUCUUUAAAAUGGUUUUCCUUUUGUCAAUUCAAAAUACCUGCCCUGUCAACCAUGCAGCCUGUUAUCCUAUGAAGUCUCCGAAACUGAAUGUUAACAUACAGCACUUAAGUGUCUGGGUGUAUCUUCUGGCCUUUGGGUGCUGUGACUGGCCACUGAAGAUUGUGCCAUUGUCAACAAAUGCACUUGUUUUAGCCUUAAUUAUUUUUAAGAGAAAAUGAGCAAUUGAGUUUUUCAUUUGGUUCAUCCUCAAGCUUGUGCUGCUGGUGUUUGCUAGAACUAAACAGUAAAUUUUAAGUGCUACCAGAAUGUGUACCAAAAUAAAAAUAUAUGAAAUCCACAAUCUAAAUUUUAAUUUUGUGCAAUAUUUUCAUUUAAUGCAUGUGUAUUUGAGUAACUGUAAAAUAAAUGGAUUUUUAAUGUUUUAAUGUCUAGGUUAGAAAUGUCUUCUCAGCUGAACAAUUCAUUCUGUUGUUGCAUUAGUUUAUUUAAGGACUUGUUUUAAAAGUCUUAUUUGUUACUCCGCUGUUAAUUCCCUUGUUCUUAAUGGUCCUUGCUCCUGGGAGCAUAGCUCAUACAUUACAAGGGGAAAAUCUCAAGAGUUCAUCUCAUGAAUAUAGCCGUUAUGAAUUACUUGUGCAUAUCAUUGUACAGUAAGUGUCAGCUGUGUGCCUAAUUGUUCUGUUGAUGCUUUUUACCUCCCUUCCCCAUCCUCUCGUUUCCGUAACAAAGAUUGAACAGGAAACAGACUGCCAGGGUCACUUCUACUGGAUGGCAGAGGACUCUGAAUGGGUUUUUUUUUCUUUUCUUUUUUUUUCUUUUUUUGGAGUUUGCAUUUAUGUUCUGUCCAAUAGAAAGGUUAAAAAAAAAUAAAAAAAUUACACUAAUAAAGUAUUAAUGGGAUUGUUA